rnacentral:rRNA from 1 species
AGAAUCAACGCUGGAGGCGUGCCUAACACAUGCAAGUCGAACGAGAAAGUGGAGCAAUCCAUGAGUAAAGUGGCGCACGGGUGAGUAACACGUGACUAACCUACCCUUGAGUGGGGAAUAACUUCGGGAAACCGAGGCUAAUACCGCAUAACACCUACGGGUCAAAGGAGCAAUUCGCUUAAGGAGGGGGUCGCGGCAGAUUAGUUAGUUGGCGGGGUAAUGGCCCACCAAGACGGUGAUCUGUAU